CUAUCUUUUGACUUUUGGAGUGAUGUUUCCUCAACAGAGGGUUCUGUCAUAAUUGAAGGAAUGGGGGAGUUGGUCAUACAUGAUGCUUCAGCCAAGAUCAAAAUAUAGACCCAAAUGUCAAUAGAAGGCAUAGUAAGAUUCUCCAUCCUUGAAUAGCCAGCGUGAGCAAAUAGAGUAAUAGUUUUCUUGAAGCUUUAUUUUAAUUUCUUUUAGAAUGAUUUGCUCUACGCUGGGUAUCUAUUUGAUUGAUUUUGGAAACUCCAAAUUUGCCUACACAUAUUGCUGUUGGUUACGAUGUAGCAAUAUUUUUCGUUUAUCCUUCCAUUGGCAGCUUCUGCAAACUACAAACAGAUUAGCAGCUUGCAAGGCAAGGAUGAAAAUAUCAAGCAAAGGUAAACAAGAAUUCCCCAAUGAUUUAAUAGUUCCUCCAUAAGUAAACCUGGGAUUUGAAAUUUUCAAAUUGAGGCUGAUGAACUUCUGCUACUCAAUAUUGUAAACUACGCCCAGAAUUUCCCUGUCCAGAAUUAAUAUUUUCUUUGAAAAAAUCCUUGGCCAUUUUGAGUUACUUUGUGAGUUCUUUUGUGUGAAAUUUGACUAAUGGCAGAUGUCCUGUUUGAGACAAACAUAUUGGUUUUCCGCGAUGAACAGAAACCCUAUCAAGUUUCUUAUUGUUCCCUUGAUGUCCCUCUUGAACCUUCUAAGAAUAGCAUCAAUUCCCAUUAAGUAUGAUGAAGUGAGCUAAAAUAAAACAUAUCAAGUGUUUUUGGUUUGUGAUAAAAAAAAAUGUUAAAGUAGUUUUGGCUAGUCUGUCAUAUAUGAAUGUACGCCACCUUAACAUUACUAGUAGUCAAACUAUUGUUUUGAAUAUUAUCAAACAAGGUAAAUUGGUGCUGCUUCCAUGACAGGUUUGGUUGGUCUGUGUAAUGAUCAAGGCUUACUUUGGGACUUUAGUUCGAUUAACUGUAUCGAUGACUUUUGCAUUAAUGAACAAUGUUUUGCCCGUCGUGAAACAAGCUAGGAUGAGGAGCUCAAGAAUUUGCUAAUUAGUUUGCAUACCGUUUGAUCCUAUUGUUGCCAUGGAAUUGCUUUAUUACAUGAAUGAUUUGGGUGUGGCUCACUUGGCUAAGGAACUUCAAAUUCCAUACUUGAGACUGAUCAAAAUAAAGAAAAGGGAUUUUGCAGAGGAAGCAUCAACAACAGCUGAGGACCAUCUUGCGUGCCAAACUUGAAGAGGCUUUGGGGCCGACUGGAGUGUCCUAAGGAAGUUUUGAUACUCGUGAAGAUCCAAAACACUUGAUCUGAUCUCAAUGUCACAUCCCUAAAUGAUUAGUUGUUCGAUGCGGUUGCAGUCUAAUGAUAUCACUUUGGAAUUGAUGAUGCUAUGCAGAGGGAGCUAAUGAAGUCUCCUUUCAUUGUGGUCCAACUCUGAUUGGUGUCAAUGUUUAUGCAUUUGUACCUUAAUCUCUCAUGAGAUUAAAGCUGCAUUUGAUGAAAUUCGGAGGAAGUCCCCAAACACCACAGGGUUUAAAUAAGGGCAAGAAUGAGCUAUGUCAGUAUAGAAAGGCAUUUUGAAGUUCUUUGCCAUUGGCAUUUGUCAUCCAUGUUGUUAAUACUCUUCAAAGGUUCUUGAUAUAAGGCGACCUCUUCUCAUGUGGUGCAUUAGUCCUUUGCAAGGUUGAAAUCGUGCUAUUCUUUAGCAAAGGCUGCAUCACAAAUCGCUUGGAGGAAGACUGCAUGUGCAGGUAGUUUUAUAUGUGAAGUCAAGCAUAAAAUGAGAUUUGUUAACAAGAUUACCAUUUAGAUGUCCACUUCAAGCUACAGUUUUGUGACUGGAAGACUUUUUUCAUGGAAAAAGCAAAUGCCGUGGAAUCAAAAAAUAAUCUAUCAACUGCAGCCAAGAGUUUCAAUGAAAAGGUUUCCAAGAAGAUGGUAGUUUCACAUUUGGAAGAAUUAUGAACCCAAAAUAAUGGCAUUAUAAAAUCAUCUGUUUGGUCUGGUUACAUCGGAAAUUCAUAUGUAGGCAUCUUCCAAUCAUUUUGGUCAUAUAACAUCAAACUUGAUUUAUUUAAGCAUGAAUAUAAAAGCAGAAGAGACACAGCCAUGUGCAUUUUCAUACCUAAAACCAAGUAAAGAGACCAGUUUUUUCUUGAAGAGCAUCAUUACUUCUCCCCUUCGAGAUUCUCUCAUGUGGAUGCAUGGAGCUCAUGCAGCUCAGAGUCGCUCCUUCAUGGUUGUUCGUGGUGUUCUCUCAUGUGGAUGCAUGGAGCUCAUGCAGCUUAGAGUCGCUCCUUCAUGGUUGUUCGUGGUGUUUUCUUUCGAGUUCUUCUUUCAAUAAAAGCUAGCAGCAUGGAUUAUUUGACACCGUCUUGAUUUGAGGUUUCUCUUUGAAUGUGGUGUUAAAUGACAAACAAUGAAUCGGUGGUUCAAAUGAAAAUUGUUGUUUAAGUUGUUUAGACAAGGAAGGAGACUAUUGGUAGAAGCUAUGAAAUAAUGUGUUCAUUGCAGAGAAGAGGAGAAGAAAGCAAAGAAGAUCAUAUCAUUGCUGGGACGGGAGAAGGUGCAUCUCAUCGUUCGGUUGGAUCGCCAAGAUGAAAUUGGGGAGAGUGUGGCAAUCUUAGGAUCCACAGGAGAUUUGGGAUUGUGGAAGAAGAAUGUGGCAACGGACUGGACCAAGAGCGGAUGGGUAUGUGAGUUAGAACUGAAAGGAGGUGAAUCUGUCAAAUUAGAACUUAUAUUAGAUUUUGCUGAUAUUACUGAGAUUCCUACGUCUAUUGGUUCUCUGAGGAAGUUGGAGAAACCGAGUGCCAGCUGUUGUGAGUCGCUCACAGUUAUCACUAGCUCAACUUGAGAUUUACAGAAUUUGUAACAUCUAGACAUUAGUGGUUCUGGUAUUGAAAAGCUUCCUAGUGCUAUAGGAAGGUUGAAAAAUUGGUGCACUAUAAGUUUCCCAUCAUGCUGUUAUUUGAAAGAGCAAUUCCAAGUGAAAAUGGUGACUUGUCUUCGCUUGAGAUUCUCUAUGUUACUUGGGGAAUUUUUUAUGCUGUGAGGAUCUAGUACACUUUAUCUGGUCUCGACGGCACAUACUUGAAUGAUUUUGAUGUUGUAUUUUGAGUUGAGUCUACUUUUUGUAUGUUCAUGAGGUUCAACCUCUCUGUUAAUCCAAUACGUAGCUGCUGAUUUUUUUGUA